ACCUCUCAUCUUCCUUUCCAAGAACAAAGCUUUACACCCCCCCACCCCCAAACCCCAACUCAUACACACCCAUUUUCACUCAUACUCUGCUACUCCAGAUACCCUUUUGAGUCAUUUGAAUCAUAGUAUCAUCAGUUGGCUGUAUCAUUACAAAUCUUCUUGAAAGUUUUGAGCAUUUAGAGUUGUAAAGUUUGAAGGUGUUUUUGUUUGAUUAUCAAAGAUUUAAUUUUUUCGAUUUCUUAAAGAAAAUGAAACAAAGGGUUGGAUUUGCAUUGAUUAGAGAAAGCUUGUAUCGUAAGCUAAUAAAACCAAACUCUGUUCCUCCUAGAUAUUAUUGCACUUCUUCAGCUAAUGUUCCUCCAACUCCAACCCCACCACCUAAGGUUCCUCAUUCUUCAAAAAAGGGAAGGUUGCUUACAGGAGCCACAAUUGGUCUACUUAUAGCUGGGGGAGCUUAUGCAAGUACAGUUGAUGAGGCCACCUUCUGUGGCUGGCUAUUCUCAGCAACAAAGCUUGUAAAUCCAUUCUUUGCAUUUCUGGAUCCAGAGGUUGCUCACAGACUGGCAGUCUCUGCUGCAGCCCGAGGAUGGGUUCCAAGAGAGAAGAGGCCUGAUCUUCCCAUAUUGGGCCUUGAUGUAUGGGGAAGAAGGUUCUCAAAUCCUGUUGGUCUUGCUGCUGGUUUUGACAAGAAUGCCGAGGCCGUUGAAGGCUUGCUUGGAUUAGGUUUUGGUUUUGUUGAGGUUGGCUCAGUAACUCCCAUUCCACAGGAAGGCAACCCAAAACCACGUAUAUUUAGGUUGCCAAAUGAAGGUGCUAUAAUCAAUAGGUGUGGCUUCAAUAGUGAAGGAAUCGUUGCAGUUGCCAAACGGUUGGGUGCUCAGCAUGGUAAGAGAAAGUUGGAAACAUCUAGUACUUCAUCUCCAGCAGGAGAUGAAGUCAAGCAUGGAGGGAAAGCUGGUCCUGGUAUUCUUGGUGUUAACCUUGGAAAGAACAAGACAAGUGAAGAUGCUGCAGCAGAUUAUGUGCAAGGAGUUCAUACAUUAUCUCAGUAUGCUGACUACUUGGUAAUUAAUAUCUCAUCCCCAAAUACUCCAGGACUACGCCAGCUUCAGGGAAGAAAGCAGCUGAAGGAUCUUGUGAAGAAGGUUCAGGCAGCUCGUGAUGAAAUGCAAUGGGGUGAGGAAGGACCUCCUCCUUUACUUGUGAAAAUUGCUCCAGAUUUGUCCAAACAAGAUCUUGAAGAUAUUGCAGCGGUGGCUCUUGCUCUUCGUGUGGACGGACUGAUUAUAUCAAAUACUACAAUCCAAAGACCAGAUUCCGUAAGUCAAAACCCUGUGGCUCAAGAGACUGGUGGCUUGAGUGGGAAGCCACUAUUUAAUAUGUCAACAAAUAUACUGAAGGAGAUGUACAUUCUGACUAAGGGAAGGAUUCCUUUGAUUGGCUGUGGAGGUAUUAGCAGUGGUGGGGAUGCUUACAAGAAAAUUCGAGCUGGUGCCACUCUUGUUCAGCUUUAUACAGCAUUUGGAUAUGGAGGACCUGCACUUAUCCCCGAUAUAAAGGCUGAACUCGCGCGUUGCUUAGAAAAGGAUGGUUACAAGUCAAUCCAUGAAGCUGUUGGAGCAGACUGCAGAUAGUUUUCAAUGUAGUCAACCAAUCAUCUGAGCUCGAAGGGCUGACAACAUUUUUGCCGCAGUCUAAUAAAAUGAAAAUUUUGGUCCCUUCCCAUUUUGCCUCAUAUAAUUUGUUUCUUAAUUUGCGAUGCCUUCCAAAAAUUUAGAUGUUUACGGAUUACUUGUGGCAAGUGACUCAUAUUUUUCUUAAUGUAACAUAGGAACAAAAUUUUGUAUCUUUGGUUGAGCUAUGAUAUGGAGUUGAAUCCACAAAAUACCAAGUGAAAGGUUGUGCACUCAUUCUUGCGAACACAAUGAUUAAGGUGGUGCACUCAUUUGUAUGUUAACUUGAGAUCACUAUUCUAGAAUCCUAAAU